rnacentral:rRNA from 1 species
GUGAGGAAUAUUGGUCAAUGGGCGGGAGCCUGAACCAGCCAAGUCGCGUGAAGGAAGAAGGAUCUAUGGUUCGUAAACUUCUUUUGCAGGGGAAUAAAGUGCAGGACGUGUCCUGUUUUGUAUGUACCCUGAGAAUAAGGAUCGGCUAACUCCGUGCCAGCAGCCGCGGUAAUACGGAGGAUCCGAGCGUUAUCCGGAUUUAUUGGGUUUAAAGGGUGCGUAGGUGGUUUGAUAAGUCAGCGGUGAAAGUUUGCAGCUUAACUGUAAAAAUGCCGUUGAAACUGUCGGACUUGAGUGUAAAUGAGGUAGGCGGAAUGCGUUGUGUAGCGGUGAAAUGCAUAGAUAUCACGCAGAACUCCGAUUGCGAAGGCAGCUUACUAAGCUACAACUGACACUGAAGCACGAAAGCGUGGGGAUCAAACAGGAUUAGAUACCCUGGUAGUCC